rnacentral:lncRNA from 1 species
AGACCCUUUAGCGAAGUGCUUAGUCCCAUUUAGUCGGGACGAGUAUCAUUAAAGCUUGUCCCGGUUUGUAUCAAACAAAGGACUAGACUACCACUUAGUCCAUUCCAAUCUAGUGAAUGCUAGUGAGUGCAAACAAACGUACCCUUAUACUAUGUUUGGAUGAGGGAAAUAAACUUGAAAUUUAGAUAAAAGUCAAAAUUUAUAAAUUGACAUACACCAAGGAAGAAAAUAUCGGUAAUAUCGGAAAUAUCGGUAGUCCGAAAACACGGAAAUAUCGAUGGAAAUAUCGGGGAUAAUAUCGAUAUCGAUAAAA